UACGUAGGGGGCUAGCGUUGUCCGGAUUUAUUGGGCGUAAAGAGCGUGUAGGCGGCCAGGUAGGUCCGCUGUGAAAGUCCGAGGCUCAACCUCGGAAUGUCGGCGGAAACCCUCUGGCUAGAGUCCGGAAGAGGAGAGUGGAAUUCCCGGUGUAGCGGUGAAAUGCGUAGAUAUCGGGAAGAACACCAGUGGCGAAGGCGCUCUACUGGGCCACAACUGACGCUGAGGGACGAAAGCUAGGGGAGCGAAAGGG
rnacentral:rRNA from 1 species